AAAAAAAAAAAAAGAAUAUUGAUUUUAGAAUUGUCAAAUAAUAGGAAAACUUCAUACUGUAUCAAUGUUGCUUUAGUUGUUUUGUUUUGUUUUGUUUUGUUUUUCUUGGAAUUAUUUGUUCAUCAAGGUGUUUGUUCUUUAAAACAAUGUGCCAGAGCCUAUAUGCCUUGUGCAUUGAUAUUUUUCAUAUUUUUAUAGGUACUUUCCUUCUUUCAUAACAUACUUUCAAAUUUCCCUUAUGUUUCAUGACAUCUUAGAGAAAAUGUGUGAAGUUGAAUAUUUUAAGAUUUUUUUUCUAGUGAGCUCACCCACACUGUUGCUAUAGACUUCAAACUUGUCUUCUUACUUUUUAAAGUUUGUCCCUCUUAUCAUGCCCAUGAUUUUUUUUUUUUUUUUGGAGUUUCUUUUCUUAUUCUCACUUUAUUUUUUUUUCUUUAUCCAGUAUACUCUCUUUUCUUUUUAAAAUAGUCUAUUUCCAUUGUAUUUUUCUGUUUUUAUUUUAGGUCAUUUUCUUCUUCUUAUCUCAUAGAGGCCCUGUCUUCAAGAAUUGUAUUUAAAAUGUCUGCUUUAAUAGAUGUUGUAUUCAGUUAUUGCUUUCCUUUUGAUAAUCUUUUCACAUUUUCUCUCUCAUAUUUUUAUAUAGGCCACCAUUUUACAUUUUUUUUUCUAUUUGCUCAACACUAAGUUAGCCUUGGUAUGGCCAAUGUCAUGUUUACAAUGGGAUGACACCUGUUUUCUUACCAUCCACUUCUUGCUGACUAAAUCCUGAUCUCCUCAUCUGGGUGACAGGUUGUGUGCAGACCUCCCAGUUAGUGACUAGGAAGCAUACAUAGAGACUGACUCUGCUCUUUAAAAAGUAAGGAUGGUCUCCUGUGUCCCAAACCUUGUUGUUUGACAAGCAGAAAAAAGUUGCAAUUUUUAACACGUGCCUUUCUCCACUAUCUUCCUUCCUUUGCUACCACCUACAUUGCUUUAACGAAGUUUUGGAGAAUGUAGGGAAUUUAUGCCAGUCUUUUCUCUCUCCUCCAGUUUUCAAAUACUCAUGCCAACACAGGAAAAGAUGGUGCUGUGAGGAUACUAUUUGUUCCAAGAAGCAGUAACUUCUAUUGACACCCAAUAAAAUCAUGGUAAUCCAGGCUUGGGGUACAAAGUGUUCAUGAAUCUGAAUGCAGUCAAUCAAGAAUGUUGAAAUACUUUCUUGACUUUGAAAAGGACUACUCUAUCUAUGUGCAUAGACUACCUUUUUUUUUUUUUAUUUUUGUAUGUCAAUAUCAUUAGCUUUAGAAGAAUGGUAAAGAAAUUGUCUCUAUUAAUCUUAGUUUUUAGGAUUGUUGUAAGAUGUGUUUUUCUGUGUGGGUGUUUUAAUAGAAAGUUGGCUGAAACCAACUUAUGAUGGCAGAUUGCUAAUUCGAUAUCCUAAAAAACUGUAAGUUUGAUAGUAAUGUUUUUCAAGCUUUUCAUUAUAGUUCAUCUAUUCUUCUAUUCAAAAGUGAAUGCCAUCCCAAGUGUCACAGGGAAAAAUGCCUAGAUGUAGAAUAGAAUUAUUGUGGGAAAUGAAAACACCACAUAAUAAUAUUUUAUUAUUAUGCAGUCCUUGGAAAUUAUGUCUUUUAACUUCAUAUAGAAAUAUUAUAUACUAUCAUUUUGAAUGGCUUUUUCAUUAAUUGAAAGAUACUUUUAAAUUUCUUUCAAGUAUCCCAACUUGGUGUUUCUGAAUAUAAAUGAGGGUUUUGGAGGUAAAGUUAUCUAAGGUAUUAAGAUCUUUUUCAAAUUAGUUGAACUUAGCAAACAUUAUCUACGAUAUUUGAUUAAAUUACCGUCACAUUUAGAGUAGUAGAUUUUUUUUCUCCAUAAAAUGAAGUUAGAUAGGGGUCAAGUUGACAAACUAUUUUCAGUAGUAUCUUGGUUGUACUCUUUUUAAUGUAAAAGACCACACUUUCACAAAAGGGAUUCUUUUCAUAACCUGUGCAUAAUUCAGAUAUGUCUAUGGUUGUCUUAGUCAACUGUCCAUAAAAUGAAUACGUUCUAGACUAUGAAAUCACCAAAACUCUUAGAAAAGCUGGUGUAUCUUUUACAUUUUAUUUAGGUUAUUAGUGACCUUUCUUCACUUAUUAGAAAGUCCUUUGUUUUGUGUAUGCAGAAACUGUUGCAAAAGAGGCCAGAUCCUUGAGCUGAUGACUGUAGACGUCUAUCAUUGAAGGCUCGUGACCUUGUAGAUUGACUGUUAGGAGGUAGUUGUUAGUUUUGAAAAAGGAAACAGGAAAACAAAGUUGUUCUUCAUAACAAAUGAAAAUAGAAUAUAGAAUUACAGAAACCGAAUCAUAGAAAUUUUGAAGACUAAGUAUCUCUCGAGAAGUAAUUAGAAUUCUUGAUUUUCUACAUGUCUAUUGCUUCAGUAGCCCCAAAUGCUUUGGAAUAAUACUUAUUUUCAAUAUUAAAACCACCAUAAUUAAAUCACCAAAAGGUGCCAAGACAUUUUCAUUGUUGUUGUUAUUAUUACUAUUAUUAUUAACUUUUAAAUUUAAUUUUAUUUUAAUACUGUUACUACAUGGGAAAAGAAUUUUGCGGGAGGUUUGAUUUUUUGAGAUAUAGUUUUGACAUAAAAUUAUACUAGUUUUAGGUGUACAACAUAAUAAUUUGAUAUUUGUAUUUAUUUUAUUUUUUUAAACUUAGAGGCUGUGCCAACCUCCCUUUUCAAACUGAUCAAUGACUCCUACUGUAUAUUGGAGAAAAUGGAAACCCAUUUCUGCCCUAACCCCCACCCAUAAUUGAUUUUAUCACCCUUUUUUUUUAAUGAUAUUUUAAAAUUUUUUUCCAUUAUAACUGGUUUACAGGGUUCUGUCAAUUUUCUACUGUACAGCAAGGUGACCUAGUCACACAUGCCUAUAUAUUCUUUUUCUCACAUUAUUCUCCAUCAUGCUCCAUCAUAAGUGACUAGAUAUAGUUCCCAGAUUUUAAUACUUUUAAUUACUAUAUUUUCUAUCACUACAAUUUUAAAAAUGAAUCCUAUUGACUAGAUACUAUUAUCUGAUCCUACUUGUCUCACCUGUUUUAUUCCUUCUUGGAUUUUUGGUUUGUUUGUUUUAUUUUAUUCAGACAGUAUCCAAUUUGAAGAUAAUUCCAUUGACCAAGUAAAGGUUAAUGGGAUGGAAAUGCUAAGUUCAGCAUCCAUAUGCAAUACUGCCAUUCCUAUACAGGGCCGCACCAGAUGAUGUUUUGUGUCAUCACAGAGUAAACAGAGUGAGAAAAUGUGGGUGUGGCAAAUCCACCUUUGAAUGAUAGCUAUUGCAGGACAGUGGGGGGGGGAGUGAUUGUCCAUAUAGUCAGUAUAAAAUAUGUGCUUUUAAUUGGAUUGUAUUAUCCCAAAGCAUGAACUUGAUCUGAAAUACAAUUCCCUGAUAUUUCUGUCAUUAACUUGUUGAUAAUAUAGUGGCUAUUUUUAAGGUGUUUUCAAGGGACAAGCAAACUUAAUAUAUGAAGUUUAAACAAACCUGAAGUUUUAAAAGAUUGCAUUUCUCUUUAGUGCUUCAUUUUUUUGGUUAUGUUUAGCCCUCAUUUUUACAUAUAUUUGAAAGAGAGGAAUGUUUGUCUUAACUAGAGAACAAAACAAAAUUAUGGUGUAAUGAGUUACUAGAAUAAGAGAAAGCAUGACAUUAAUAUGAAAACUUGAAAGAGUUUAAAAUAACCAUUCUUAUCUCCCCAAAUGAUAUGAUUUUGAUGUUAUUAAGCAUAAAGAACUUUGUUUAUAAUAGGUUAACUUUGCAGUUAGGUGUGGUAAGUCAGAAGCCAAAAAAAAAAAAAAAAACCUAAAACAAAACCUAGGAACCAAGUGAUUAAGUGAUAUCUGUGACUCUAUGAUGCAUUAAUUAUUUUGUCAUUUCCAUAUUCCCAGCUUGAAAUUUAAUAUAAAAGAAAUGCCUUGCUGCUUGGUUCUAAAUCCUGUUUGAUCCAAUGUGGAAAAAAAUAUAUAUUAUUUGGAGACUUCUUAACAGAAAAAAAAAAAAAAUCUUUGAAUUAAUAGUUUCUCCUGCAAAAAGAAACUUGAAAUUCACCUUUGGACUAUUUCAUAUCUUUAGCAUAUUUUCUAUUAAAAAUACUUCUAGAUUCCAGUGUCUGCUUGGCUUUGGUUAUCUUAGCGGUAAUAAGUAGCCUUGGGACCCCCGAAGGCACACCCCACACACUUAUGCUGUGUGACCUAAGGUCACAAGUAAUGGCUGCAAGCUAAUUGAUUGAGAAAGGCUUGUCUGGAGGGGCCUCUUUGCGUCCUCCCUUUACAUUCCUAAGUUCUGUGAGAGUCACUAGCAGCUCAGCCUCGCAAGGAAGGAAAAAAGAGAGGAAGUUUCUCUGCGUUGUGAAUACACUUUGAGUUCCCCUGUAGUGAGCUUACUUCUCUCCACCCACCAACCAAGAACUCUUUCACUUGAAGGUGGACAACUUAAAGCCUGAUCUCAGAGUUACCCGAAAAGUGACCUGAGUAUUUAUUGAGCUGAAAGAACCAAUUACCUACUUCAGGCGGUGGGGAGCGUAUGGAAAUGAUAUUAGAACUUCAGCAAAGUGCACAGCCGCAUAAUACAGAAGCCAGGACUCAGAUUGACAGGCAAAUAAGCCAGCUCGUGGAAGGGGCCUCUGGGUGGCAGCUCUGGGCUAUUGGGUGUUGGACAACUAUAGGCAAAACUGAAAUGGAACAGGGGCAGAAAAUAGCACACUUUUACGCCACGCAACCGUUGCUUUCGCAUGAUCUUUUGGAAUAUUACUGGGAUAACUGUCCAAAUGAAGUUCCAAGUACUCUAUACAAAUGGUUACUGAUCAUUAAAAUGGUUUUGUAAAGGAAUGACUCAGAAAUAACAGAGUUUGUUGCUGCUUCUGAGAUAAAGAAAACUCGAUGUCAACAUUUGAACAGAGAAAAAUACAGAAUAUGGAUAUCCUUGAAGAUUAACCAGAGAACUUUUCAUAUACUUCUAAAGGGAAAAACUUAAAAUGGAUAUGAGAAGUGAAGAAAGUGAUCAUAGGAGCAAGUCAUCUCAGAUCAACCACUUCAGAAGAACCAGAUUCCACUUCUGUGGCCAGGACUUUUAUGUUAUGGCUGGUCCGAUUGUUUUACCCUGCGUUCUAUGCUACUAAACCUUGGAUCAUUCCUAAAGUACAAAUUCUGUUCUCGAACCACAAACAAGGCUAAAAGAUCGGAGGAAAUUCAGUGAAUAUGCAGGAUGGGGGUUGUGUAUUUUCAAAAGUAUUGAGCUUUAUAAUGCAAUUAUUUAAAAAUAGAAACAUUUUUUUUAAUCAUGUUGCCAGCAUUUUAAGUUACGUGUUUGUUAAGUGGCAUUGCUCAAAUAGCUACAGAGUAUGCAUGGAAAUAUUGGCUGUCUGAAGAGUUUGGAGAUUCAAAGAGAAAUAGCAAGCUUCAGAGGUAUUAAAUUAUGACAUGCAAAAAAGUUUUUGUUUUAUUCUUAACUGCAACAGUAUAUAUUUAAAUUAGAUUUAAAGUGUUAUAUGUCCUGGGCCCACCUUAAAAGUUGUGCUGUAUAGACUUGUAAUGAGAAGCGAAAUUUCAAUUAGGGUCCCAUUAACUGGCAUAUAAUCCUCCUUUAAUAUAAUGGAGGCUAUGGUGUUGCUGUACAAAUAGUCUAGAAACAGAUUUUAACCCAUUUUUGGUAUCUUUCUUGGAUCUAAUGGAACGACUCUUAACUGUUUAUUAUCUGCCUUGUUUCUUACAGUCUUCAUUAUUUUAAGGUCUGAAAUUAGUCUGUAAAUGGUCGUCGUGAAUACUCAGCUCAUCCUGCCUUUUAUAUACCAUAUAUAUUUCUACGUAUGUCAUUUAAUUAGUACUUAGAGGAAAAAGUUAAUUGGACCCAACUGUAAUUUCUAAACUAGCUUUAUAACUGGAAGAAGAAUUCUACCGCAUCAAACCAGACUUUUCCUAGUCCCUGAGACCCUAACUUGUGAGGUAUUUUAGUAACAUCACAAGUCAGGCUCUUGGGACCUAGGCGGAGGGGAACCAGCAGCUUUGGACCUUAUUGAUUGUCUGCAGUUACCAUCAGAACAAAAGAACAUACAUAGAUUCUGCCUAGGAGAAAAGAACAAUGCUCUUCUUUAUAAUCAGCAAUGUUUCGAACAUGACCCACCCCCCAAAAUACAAUUUGUAGAAACUGUACUUGAAAGUGAUUACAGAGGUGCACUGAAAUAGCAUUUGUAUUCUAAUGACCAUAUAAAAGCAAUAUAAGAUAUCUGUGUAAGAAGCAAAAUUAAGAUACAGAUGUUUUUUAAAUGCUUCUUCUGGUGUAUUUUAAGACAGCUAGUCUAAAGAAUAACUCAGUUAAUAAUGAAGAGUGGUUUAAAUUUAUAACUUUUUUCAUAUGUAUAGAAAUAUAUACAUUAGCUACUUAAAUAAAUCCUGUGUUUUCACAUAACUGUGGCUGAGAAUAUGUAAUGUAUAGCUAUAAUCAUGUUGAGGCCUAGAAAUAAAAUGAUUUGCCCUCUUCUUUAUUUGACCCUAUUAGAUUUUGCAACUGAUUUAAGAAGAAUGCUGCUUUGUGAUUGGUAUUUAUUGCCAGAGUUUUCUUUAGUCUUUUUAACCAGACUAAAUACUUUAUAUGCCCUAUUAUAAUAAGACAUUUCUUGUUAUAAGAAUUCAAGAGUUAUAUUAGCAGAAAUAUGGUACUUUUUAAUUUUUACAUUUUACUUGAUAUAUACCAUGGAUGUAUGUGAGAUAAAUUAGUAAACACCACCUAUGAAGUCAGACUGCUCUAGUUCAUUUAACAACCAAAUCUGAACUGCAGACUUUUACUUUUAUGAAAAUUUUAGUUUUAUACAAGGUAACUAUUCCAGCUAUAAGUAACAUGAAAUCUUUGAACAUUAUUAGCCAUUGCCAUAUCAUGUAUGCAUUUUUGAAAACAGAAUCAAACAUUAAGUCUGUUUUAAAAUUUUACAAUAAUGUUUCAGAUAAUAAGAUUCAAAAUGGAGACGAGAGAUUUUUCCAUAAUAGAAGAAACCAGAGACGAUUUCAUUCUUUAAACUCUGUUGCUUUGCAGGGGUACUAUAAAUUAUAUACAUCUUUGCAUUUUAAAAAUAAAUUUCUGAAUGUAUUUUAGAAUAGUGUAAUGGAGUCUUUGUUCACCUUUUUAUUGGAUUUGUUAGAAUUACUUAUGGUUUGAAAUGUCACAGAAUACAAAUUACCCAUGGGUUAUAUUUCUUAAAAAAUUGAUAUUACAGUAUCGUAGACAUAUUCCUCAUCUAUAAAGGCACAUAGAAUGUGUUUAAGCAUGUAUCCACCCUGUACCUUUUCAGAAUAUUUACUUAUAUCACCUAUUUCAUUUUAUCUAGAACCUCUGAAAUUUUAAGUGUGUGUGUGUGUGUGUGUGUGUGUGUGAGUGUGUGUGUAUAAAACAAGUGCUUUAAAACCCCAAAUGAACAGAGAUAAACAAUAAAGUUUUUGGUAAUAUUUAUAUUUUCCUUCUUUUAAUCUUAUUCUCAUUGUAAUUAAGCAUUUUUAAAAGCAUAAGUUUCUCAAUACAAAGAACUCUAUGUAUAGGUAUCUACAAGUACACAGAAACUUGAUUAUUUUUAAUAGCAAUGUUUAGACAAUGAAUCAGAAACUACCUCUUAUGUAAAAUAAUAUCACAUGCAAGUAUGUGUUUACAGACACCUGUUUUAACAUAACCCUAUAAGCGAGAUGUAUAAGAUGUUCCAUCAGUUUCAAAAUAAAGUAAGGGACAGAUGUUUACUGGCUAGAGUGAUAUCAAAUAUAAGCCAUUUCAAAUACAUGAUUUUUAUGUCAUCGUAUUUAUGAACCACACUAUAUAUCAAUUUCUGUUUCAUAAUCAGAAGAUACCAAAGCUAGAUUUAAAAUGCUGUGUUGUUUAUUUUCCCCAUAAACAUAUAUAAAAUGUAUAAUUCUUACUAACCAUUGUGCAUUUUCUGAACCCUCUGUGUAUAACUUUCCGAUAUGAGAGCGUCAUUAAUAAAGCUUUUCUCUUCCUUCAUAAAGGUGAGUAGAGAUCUAAGUGAGUAACUUUGUUUAUAUAAAUUACUUUAUGCUGUAUAUGGGUAGAUAGAUGCUUCUUUUUCUGCAUUUCUCGCUUAGCUGUCACAAGAUAAUGUUGUUUGGGGGCUGUAUAAUAUGAUUUGGAAAAUCAGAUCAUACUAAGCCUAAAAUAAAAAGAGAGAUCUACAACAAAGAGCGAGAAAAUGAUGUGUGUUGCAUACAAAAAAAGCAGUGAUAUUAACAAUUCGAUGGCUUCCUGGUUAGGAGACCAGCCUGAGCCAGACGCAUAUAUUAAAAGCUGUCUGCUGCCGAUGUGAGCUUGCUCAAUGCGGUGGAAAUGAGGAAUCACCUCCUCUCUGACACUAGCUUACUUUUACAUUUUAAUUUUGAAACAGCAAAUCACUGUUUUACAUAAAUAUACUAACCCCACUUGAUUCUUUUCCUUUCUCACAUUGUUUGCUAAUUUACUGUGAACUUCGAGGUGUUUUUUUUUUUAAAUAUCAUCACUCAUCUUAAACAUCUAUCAAAUACCAAUGAAGUAUUAGUUUUCCUUUUGUCCCUUUUAUAUCAUUCUGUUAGUAUUGUGAUAUUCAUGCUUUUAACUUUUAAUCUCUGUAAGGAAAACAGCAGUUUUUCAAAAUGACACUUUUUAAAGGCUUUUAGAUCUAUCAAGGAAGGCACUUCUGGAAUUUUGCCAAAUCUAAAUAUGGUUAUAUUUCAUUUCAGGGUUCAUGGGGUCAAUAUCUUUCUGAGUAUAAAAGUUCUUAACGCUAUAGUGUUCCAGUGAAGCUGCAGAAGAGGUAUAGAGAUACUCUGAAGUCAUUUAAGCUUUAGGCUACAAUCAUAAUAUCUAGAAGAGGUAGAGGUAUCUCAGGGGAAUUAUAGUACAAGUUAAUUACUAAUGAAAUUAGAAAAGGUAUAUACUACCUUAAAUGCCCUAAAUUCAAAUGGACAUGCUGGUACGUGUGCCUAGGCUUGGUCUAAUUCAGCUGAUAAAUAUGUAAGUGGUUUUACAAGCAUCAUGUUUGGAUGAGUUUUGAGAAAAGCAGUACAUAAAGGGUUAGCUAACGCCCAAAUUUUCUUACCAUUUAUACUUGCAGUGCAGCCUACAUUUCGGGAGGCUUUAGCAAAUGCAGGCAUCAUUUUGAUUACUUGGAUUCUUUUGUUUAAUUUCUUACUAGCCAUUUAACUUAGCACUCACAUCCCACUGAUCCUUUAGUGAGUGAAUUUGGAAAAGGAAAACCAAGUUCCUAACAUAGAGAAGUUUUCAAAAAUCCUGGACAUUUGUAAGGACUUGACAAAUAGACAUUUUUUAGGGUAGCUUUGCAAAUGCAUAUUUAGUAUAUAGAAACUUAAGUGCUAUUAUUACCUGUCAUCUCCAGCUCUAUAUUUAGUUUUUUAUCUAUCAAUGACCAACUACGUCCUGAGACAUUAUAUGCAUAUUUAUUAAUACACAUUAAUAUGUACAUACUUAGUAUACAUUGAUAUAUGCACAUUAAUACAUAACAAUAUACAUUAAUAUAUAUUUAUAUAUACUUUAUAUUUAAUUUUUUUUAAUUCAUGGUAAAAAUAGAAUGAAAAUUGAGACUUUGUAAUAAAAUUAUAUACAACAUUUUUUUUCAAUGAGUGAGCUUCAGUUUUCACUGUUGCUUUUUCAGAUGAAGUGCAUUACUAGCUGAUUAUACCAACUUGUAUGUAAUACCUUAACGUCUGGAGGUUUGAAAGCAGGUGAAACUUGAAGGCAAUUGAGAUCAAGCAAAUUUAAGAUUAAAGCGUUUUAUAUAAUCAAUCAGCUAAUUCCAUGCAUAUUUUAUGCAGACUUUCAAAGUCAAAAAUUUUUAUAUGGUGAAAUAAAAUUUUCAUUUUUGGUGUAAGCAAUGUAGUUUUAAGUGCAUUACCUUAAUAAUUCAUCCCUAAACAAAUAAAACUAAUGUAAAAAUAAUCAUAGACUAUGUCUGUUAGGUCAACUAAAAAAGAAUACAAACUCCUGGGUUUCAUCUCAGCCUUUUAAGGUUUCCGGGGUAUUUGGGGUUCUUUUGUGUAGGUGGAUUUAACCAUUCCGUUUCUAAGUUUCUUCCUUUCUGUUGGUAGGUGUCUGAUGAUUUGUGAGCACCAAACGACUAUUCAGUGGAGUCACCUUUCCUUGCCUUUGAAUUAGCUUUCACUAGGCCAUGAGUCAACAUCAAUAUUUUGUCCAUCCAGAUUGGUAGGUCGUUUUUGAAAUUCUUCUAUGUAUUUUUCUGGACACGUAAGUGAAUUGUGAGAAAUUAAAUUUAUGUGGCUAUGGUCUUUCCACUUUCCAAACAUCUUCCCUAAGGGUUUGGGGUGAUGAUGUUGAAAUGCUAGCCAACAGAAGCAUUUGGUUUUGUAGGAUUUAAAAAUGUAAUGUCUUUCUCAUAGUAGACUUCCUAUUCUUAGCGGUGAUGGGGGAACCAGUCUGUGGCUAAGUUCUUACUCUGUUAUACAUCACACUAAAAACCCAGCCUGUGCUUUGUAAACCUUGGGGAGGUUUCUACAUUAGACAACAUGUUUUGUUGGGGGAUUACACCACAGUCGGGUUCCCUUCACUUCUCUCUCUUCCUGGCCCCCCUCCACCCAACAUGGAGCCUUUUCAACUUCUUCAAAGAAGUGGGGGAAAAAAAAGUAGACUCUUUAUUAAUGGCAGAAAACAAACUGGCUGCUGGACUUCCGAGACAGCCUUCUGAUAAUAAAGCAGAGUAGGCACUGCGACAAAGAAUUCUUGAAUGUACUAAAUAUAUAGGGAAGCCUAUUUAAAUUCACCAGAGGGGCUUAGAGGACAAGCAGCAGAAAGUUUAGAAUUCAAUUCAAGCCAUGCCAGAAAAUGAAAAUGUACUUAAAAAAGGAUUUCUGAAACAAUUGUUCAAAGACAUGUCAACUUUUAAGGUUCUUUCUAGAAUAAUGAAAUUCGUGCUCUAAUUUCUGUGGUGACUUUUUCAAUUAGAAAGGAAAAGUGAUUAACAAGAUCUCAAAGGAACUGUAUCUUAUGUUUAAAGAAAAUGUGUUUUCUUUCCAUAGGGUGUGCUCUGGUGAGGUCCACCAAAUACACUGUUGAAAAUCACCCAAAUAUAUACAUGGGGAAAAGAGAUGAUGUAUUUUUUUUUUCAGAAAUAUUUUUUUCAGAAAUUAGGCAUGUAAUGGAAACACUCCUAUUUUGGGAGAAAGAUACCCAACUUGUAUAUUGUUUCUAGUUCACUUCCUCCCCUUCAAUUCUAUGACCGAUCAUAUUUUAAACAAAUGUAAUGAAGUAAUUCUGAAAGAGCAAAUUGCUGAUAAAUAAUAGGACUAUGUGUUGCUAAAUUUAAGAAAUUAAAAAAAGUGAUCCCUACCUUAUCUCUUAUUGACUUUAGAGAAUGCGCUUUACACUUUGACAUGUGCAUCUACAGGGAUUACCCAUAUCUAUUUUAUUAAUCUUAAUGUUGAGAUAAAUAAUUGCUUAUAAAGUUCAUUUAAAAGCCCCUAUGGCCCUGACUCAGAGAUGAAAUUUCUAGCAGGCUUUUCCCUAAUGUCUUUUUUGUAGAAUUAAGAUAGAUAUUAGAAAAAGAUGGUCAUUCUUUGUCUCAGGGAUUACAAGUUGUAAAGAGGAUGGAAACUUGGUCUCACUGGUGACACAUCUUUGUUGCCAUUGAGGAAAGAGUCUGCUUGAGGAUUAAAUUCAUGUGAAAUUCACCAAUUCAUAAGUAUAAUUUAUCAACUCAAAAUAAGCUAUUAAGUCAUUAAUUUAGCCAUUAAUUCCUAAAUUUAUAUUCAGCAUAAAAAAUGAAUUAAAUGAAUUAAGCCUGCAUUAACAUAUGGGGCCACCAUGGCCAAUUUGUAUGUGACUAAUAUUUAUAGAUAUUAAAUAUUUAGUGAUAAAAAGUAAUUGUUGCUCUCAAUACAUAGAGAUGCAGCCUGAUUCAUAACAACAAACACUUAGUUUUAAUGACAUUUUAAUAUCAAGAACUUCAGAGGACUUAAUGAUUGAUCAGUGAAUUCCCUAGCUCAAUCCCUAGCACCAAGAAAGCAUCCAAUGAAUAUUAGCUUAUUUCUUCCUGUCUGGAUUUUAGUAUUUGCCUCUGCUAAACAGACUCUUUUUCUCAUCACCCAAAUUUACUGCAUGUACACUCUCUCCAAGGGUGAGAAGCAGACACCAUAAGGAAAUCAUUUCAGCUCCAGGGCACUCACAAAUCCUUUACUAUAAAUAUCUUUAUCAAAGGUUUUGCGAGUGCCAGAUAUAGGGGAAAAAAAGAGGAAUUCUGCUCUUAAAUAGCUUAUGGUCUACAAAAGAUGUCUUUCACUGUCCAACAUAUUUUCAUCCUUUUUGUGUGUUUUAGCAUUUCAUAAAUCCUGUAAUUUGGAAGUUUUAAUUUUUAUAUAUUUUCUAGAUUAGAAUUUUGUGUGGUUUGUCCUAUUUUCUAGUUGCAUGUGAGAUAACAUCUAUAUGUAUUUGGAGUUGCUUUGGACAAGAUAUGGGAUUGUUAGGAUUUUUUUACUGCCUAGAUUCCAAUCAUAAUAUUUCCUAUACUAUCAAAGGUCUGGUGAUUAAGAACCAUACAUAGACUAUGAAAAGGUUAAUAAUUGUGGUUUUUAAUAAUGAUAUUUCUCGGAUAAUGGGACCAAAAUGCAGUAUUUAAAUAUGAUUUCAGUCCAUCUACCAUUUAAUUUCUUUUUUAAAAAGUUAAGUUGCAUAUAAUGAUAUUGAUCAUGCAAAGUUUCAUAAGGCAGCAAGUAUAUUAAUUAGUCAAAGGAUCAAAACAUACUAAUUGGGCUAUUCUCUGGGAUUUUACAAAACAUGAAGAAUAAACUUUUAACUUUUAGACUUUUGAAUUAUAAAUGCCACCACUUAACUUGAAUAGUGAAGCAGAAGACCCAAAUUCUUUUUUUUUUUUUUUUGUCUUUUUAGGGCCAUACCCAUGGCAUAUGGAGGUUCCCAAGCUAGGGGUUGAAUUGGAACUCUAGCCACCGGCCUACACCAUAGCCAGAGUAAUGUCAGAUCCAAGCCACAUCUACGACCUACACCACAGCUCAUGGCUACGCUAGAUCCUUAACCCACUGAGCAAGACCGGGGAUCGAACCUGCAUCCUCAGGCAUGCUAGUCAGAUUCAUUUCAGCUGAGCCAUGAUGGGAACUCCUAGAAGAUCCAAAUUCUGAUACUACUUCUACCACUAGUUUAACUAAACUUCUCUUCUUUUCACUUUUAAAUUUACAGUAGAUUUAUAAAAUAAUAAUAUGGAAGAAGAUAAUUUUAAAGUUAUUUUCAGGUAGAAAUUAGUAUAUCAUUAUUUGAAUUUUUUUAUUUUUGUCUUUUGUCUUUUGCUGCACCCGAGGCAUAUGGAGGUUCCUAGGCUGGGAGCUGAAUCAGAGCUGCAGCUGCUGGCCUAUACCAGAGCCACAGCAACACCAGAUCCAAGCCAUGUCUGUGACCUAGACCAUAGUUCACAGCAACACCAGAUCCUCAACACACUGAGCGAGGCCAGGGAUCAAACCUGCAUCCUCAUUGAUACCAGUCAGGUUCGUUAACCACUGAGCCAUGACAGGAACUCCUAGUUGAAUAUUUUUCCAUCCUACAGGGGACUUCUUGAGUCAAAGUGUUAGGAAAGAAUAACAUUAGCUUAGAUUGCUAUGUUAAUCAGACUUUUUCAGUAGCAAAAGAUCAAAACCCAGACUAAACUAGUUUAAGCAAGAAAGGAAGCUAUAUCUACCUCAUCAUCAUCAUCUCCUCCUCCUCCUCUUCCCCCUUCUCUUGCUUUUCCUCUCCUCCUCCUCCUGGUCUUCUCUCCUUUUCCCUUUCAAUAUCUCUCCCUCUUUCUUUCUGUCUCCAAUGUGUUGACCCCAUUCUCACAUUGUAUUUGGUAGCAAAGGUGGCCAUUAGGAACGCUAGACAUGCAACAUGCAUCAUUCCUAGGGCUCGUAAUUCCAGAAGGAAAUAUUUUUUGGUUCUCUUUAUCCCUAUGUCAGUUUUAUUUCUUUGAAAGACUCUGAUUGGCUCUGUUUUAGAGCCUCUUUUCUCUCCAUUUAAGAGUUGCUCAGAGUGGACAGCCUGUGUGGGAAGGCUCUAUGAGAUUAACCUAGCAAGGUUACUGUCAAUGCCAGAAGAUGAAAGAAAUUCAAAGCAGGCAAAAAUGUAACAGGGCUCCCAACGACCACUACAUAUUUCUAAAUUACUUAGCAUAAUGGCAUGUUACAGGCUUCUGUCAAAUAUGUGUCUUAUUAAUCUUAACCGAGCCUAUCAACAUAUAGGUAAUAUUAAGUUUGUUAGCCCAAAUCUGUUCUCUAUAGCAUUGUAACUAUAAAACAUCUGUAGUAGAAAAUCUCAACCUUGAGUGUCAAGGAGAUUAAUUACAUGUUAUUAACUUUUUCCUUGAUCAUUUAAUAUUUGGCAUAUGUCAGGAAAGUCAACAUUUGGACUCAUUUAGGAAUUUGUCAUUUUAAUACUUAUUUUGGAUUAUUAGAAAUGGGAGUAGGAUAUAAAAAAAGGGAUGCUAAUUAUAUUCUAUGGUCUAGUGUCUACCCUAAGUCACCAUAUGUUUAGGCUGUUCUGUUACAGCAAAGUUUAUAGCCUUUCUACUUUCACCUCUAAUAUUAAUAUUAGCUUAUGUUGUUGAUUUUUGAAAAUAUUGUUUAUGAAUUGAUUUCUUCCCCUUCUACUGUCUUUAAAGAUAUAUGUGUGUAUAUGUAUAUAUAUAAAACAUUCUAAUCAUAUAGAAUCAAUAUGAUGGAUACAAUUAUAUACAGAUAUAUUUGUGUAUAUAUAGUUCUAUAUACAUAAAUAUAACACACAUGUAUAAUUACAUCUUUAUAUGAGUAUAAAGAUAAUAUGAUUUUGUAUGUUUAGAAUGUCAGAUUCUUAUCCUUUUUAGUCUUGUUUUUUAUCAUGGUACGACCUGGCUAAUUUUAAGCAUUUUACUACCACAAACUACAUUUAGGGAUCUUCUUCAAAGAGAAAAAGAUUAAUUUGCUAUGAAUAAUGAUUCUCAUGCAAAACAUUUUGGUGUUUUUUGUGAUGCAGAUGAGCAAUGCUAUAAAUAUAAUUUAGAAAGUUUGAAAAUUGAUUUUAACAUUCACUAUUCUUCUUCCGAAUUAAUCAAAUUACAAAAUUAUGCUGUGGUUUCCAGUAUAUUAAAAUAAGUUGUCAUAUUUGGAACAUCUGUUUAUGCUCCUAUUAUGAAUAUGGGUUUCUAAACAUCUGAACUAUAGAUUGCCAUAAAUAAUGUUUGUUAUUUAUUCUCUGGAAGUAUGAUAUCUACUUCCUCCCACAAUGCUUAUUUCCCACAAAGUAAAUCUUCCAGAUUGUUUUUAUCUUUUUCCUUAUCAAGAUAGAGCAAAAAAAAGUCAGGUUUUAGUUAAGUCUUGCUGAUUGGUUAAGUAAAGGAGGGCUGUCAUCUGCAGCCUUUCCAGACACUGUACCACGACUCCAAAUAGUCAGCUGGUAUUGUCGCUUUGUCUCAACUAUAAAUCAGUCUUGUAAUGGCCAAGGCUGACACCUUGACAUUUUCAAGAAGAGUAAAAGAACUGAUCUGAAUGGAAAUCAAUUUUAUUUCACAAAUCUUGGGUUACUACUCCAAGCCUUUUCUUCUUGUGUCUUCUUGAGACUUACCUGGGAUUUUCACGAUCAUCAAAGGAUUAUUUGAGUUGUUUGUUAUACUAUCACAUCUUUUAGCUAUAGAACCAUAUCCUUACUUCCUUCUUCGAUCUUAAGAUGGAAAACUUUAUUUUUAAAAUUUUAUAUAAUAAAAAAUCACCAAUAUGCCAGAUUUCAUUUUAACCAUGACAUAUUGAUAGUUUAAAAAUGUGGCAGUAGCAGCAAUUGCCAUUGGUUUUGCAGAAUUUUCCCUAAAUGUUCUGUGAUUUAAAAAUACCAGCUGUGUAUACAUAUAUCCAGAUUAAUCAUUGAUUAUACAAUGAUACAUAAUAUCAUUUAUGGAGUGAUUUUUGAACUUCAAUCUACCAGGUCUCAAGCAUAGAAUCCUCUGAAAAAUGUUUUUACUUUUAUAUUCUUGCACACAAAAAGUAGGCUUUAGGAUUUUAGAGUCAGUGAGGAAUAACAUGCAUUUAAUUGUAUUACGUUGGUUGAGAAUUAAAUUCUGCCUCAGUUUUUUGUUGUCAUUGUUGUUUGUUUGUUUAUUUUUUGCCAUUCAACCCAAGUGGCAUAGAAAAAAACUCCACACUUGACUAGUGUGAAAAGAAGGUCUUUAUAGAUCUUUUAGGAACUUGGCAUUAAAUGUUUAAAAAAAAAUUAACUACUCUGGUAUGUCUUCCACUUUAGGAGAACACUGAAAUUUCCUUAAAACUACAGAGGGGAAGAAACUUGUGCAUCCUUAGUAUUUUUGCUUGCCACCUCAACAAAUAUGAUCUCAAUUCAAUGUAACCUUAGCUCUAAACAUGUUAUUAAUCAAGAAUUUGGGCAUCACCCCUCUUCUUGUCAAAUAUGGAAAAAUUACCACAAUGCCUGCCAGUGAUUUCUCUUUAUCAUCUUCAUUAUUAGUCUUUCAUUUUGUUGAAAACCUCAUUUCUAAACAGGAAUGUGCUUUGAUUGCUAAAUUCAUUAUGUUGCAGUGCUCCACAAACAAAUGGAGUUAUAGACGAUUACAAACAGGAGAUUUUCAACCCUUAAAUCUUUUUAUCCACCUAUUCAUCCAUUCAUUCAUAAUCUAUACAAAACAAGACUUUAUGCUAAGAAUGUGUGAAAUACUAAAUAAAGUUAGAAAUCCUUCUUCACAACAUACUAUAUUUUUACCAGUGUGGCAGGUGCUGAGAAUCCUUCAAAGAUUUUUGGGAAGAUGGAAAAUGAAUCCAAAGUCAGUGUAACUUAAGACCUCAACCCAGGGGGCAUCUCAAAACUACUCAGAAAGACUUACGAAGGCACACCCUUCAUGCUACCCUGAAGGUUCUGACUCAGUAGCUUGGAAGUAGGGCCUGUGCAGAUGCAUUCGUAAAAGCUCCUAGGUGACUAACACUCCAAUCGAUAAAGAGUUGGGUAGAGAAUGUUGAAAUGAGGAGAAUGAGGGAUAAUUAGCCACACAAAGAAACAAAAAGGAGCUCUAACCCAAGGACUUCCUCACAUGAAGUCUACCAUAUUCCCAUGAGAUUUUAUAUGAGAUUUUGAGUGGAUAUCCAUUUUUCUGGGGGAAAAUGAACCAAUAGUGUUUAUAAGAUUCUGAAGGAAGACUAAAACCACUCCAAAAUUAAGAACCGCUAGGAAUACACACUGUGAAAAUGCGAAGGUAAAUGUGAGAAAUCAUGGCUAUACAAUUAAAAGAAUGCCAUGACCUUGUAGAUUGCAUGGGGAUAAAAAUUGUAGCAGGGAAGAAAGAAGUAGAAAAAAUUAAUAUAAAUGUGUCCACCUUUGACACUAGAAGGAUGAGAACCAUGAUAAUCCUUCUGUGAACCAGCAUCCCCCCAUCAACUAUUUCAGUUAAAAGAACUUUGAUAUCCGCAUGUUGGACUCAUGGUGUGAAUGUGACUCUCAAAGGUAAGGUGUCAAACAGUAAUGAAAAUUUUGGAGGUGAUUACAUAGCUUUGAACAUCAUUUCUGUAGAAAGCUGGUUGAACACGCUGAAGUCAUAAAUAGGCAUCUUUUAUCCUAUUUCUCCCUUUGACUGACUUUCACUUCCCAGGUAAUCUAGAGUGACUAUAGAAGCUACACUAUGUUGUUUUUCAGCCAGAGGAAUAAGAGGAGAAUAAUAAGGAUGCUAUCUAUACUUCCUUUUAAAGAAGAUUUCUGGAAACCUUCCACUCUACCCUUAAAACUUAGCAGGUACACAAAGCUUUUGGGAGAAUAGGUACAUGGAAGUGUAGGCUUUAUUCUGGGUAUUUGUUCAUCCAGCUGAAUACCAGAGGAAUAGAGUAGAGGAGUUCCUACUGUGGCUCAGUGGGUUACAAACCCGACUAGUAUCCAUGAGGACGCAGGUUCAAUCCCCGGAUUAAGGAUCUGGUGUUGCCUUGAGCUGUGGUGAGGAUUGUAGAAUGGCUCAAAUUACAUGUUGCUGUGGCUGUGGCCAGCAGCUGUAGCUCUGAUUCGACCCCUAGUCUGAGAACUUCUAUAUGCCAGAGGUGCAGCCCAAAAGAAGCCAAAAAAAAAAAAAAAAAAAAAAAAGAUAUUGCAGAAAACUAGCAAUCUUUGACAGAGUGAAAUAAAUGAUUCUGAAUCAUUUAAUUAAUUGAAAAAUACCAUAGUAUAGGAUAUUUUAUUAUAUAAACCUUCAGCCUAAAUAAAUAUGUUGAUUGGAAAGAGGUAGAAAUUUCUUUAACACAUUAUUUAUGAAAACAUAUCUCAUUUUAAAUUCCUGUCUUCCUCAAGUGAUUCAUAUCCUGAAAAUGCUGGAAUUCUUUGUGCAACUGGAAAGAUACUAUUACUUGUUAAAAAUAGAAUAGCUGCAAAUGGAGUAACCUACCAGUCCAAUGUUACUAAACUUACUAGGCUCAAUCCAUCUUAAGCUAAUUUAAGGUAUUUUCACAUUAGUCUAAAGACAACUAGUUUAUUUACAAAAUAAACUUUUCCUGCACAAUAACAAGUGCUCAUUUUGUAAAAUUAGAAAUUCCAGACAGAAAAGAAAAAAAAAUUAAUCUCGUCAGUCAGAAAACAACUCUGGCUAUCCUAUAGUAUAUCAUAUAGUAUAUUACAUACUUCUUUCCCUUUCUCUCUUUUGUUCACACACACGCACACACACACACACACACACUGAUAUUUGUAACUUGCUUUUUAAUUGUUAAAUACCAAAUGAACACUUCCCCCAUAUUAUCAUUUUAAUAUAUGCUUAUGUGUUAUUAAGUAUAAUACCAUUUAACUGGUCUAUUUGUAGGUGUAAACUGAGUUUCCAUCUUUUUUCUAAUAUAAAUUAUAUAUUGAUAAAUAUACUUUUAUAUAAUUGUAUAUGAUUAUUACCUCAAUAUAUAAAUUGGGACAGAUGAUAAUGACCUGAAGAAAGGUGGUGGCCUUGGAAGUGGAGAGACAAGGAAGGAACAGAGAAGUGUUAGAAGAUAGAAUUGACAGAACCAAGUGAUUAACUGCAUGUAGAACGAUAUCUGGAAAAUUUUAACCAAGGUUAUUACUUCCUCAAAUUACGCUUGUUGCCUUAUUUUCCUGCACUCGUUUGGUCAGUGACAUGUAUUGUUUUAGUGGAAGAGCAGACACAGUCAAGAACAGAGUCUAUAGUAGAUUUAAAGUGCAUAGUACAUUAUUUUUUAAAACUUAAAUACAAUAAGCUCAAAAACAAACUGUUCUCAUUUGGAAGAGCUAGACUCUUGAGAGGGAAAUGGUUUUAUUUUUAAUUUCUGAAAGUCUUGGUUAGAAAUAUUAACCUGAUGCCAGAGGUCUGGAUCAUAACAUUUAUAAAAGUUUAACUAACUCUAAACAAGAGGAGAAUUCAGGAUGUGAGUUUGAGGUAGUUGCCCAUCGCACAGCCUAACAUGAAACUUUCUAGGCUGUGGGCAGUGAGGAGCCUAGAGUACAGGAGAAGCGCAAGAACACUGGAUGAAGACAAUGAGCAUUGCAUAUUCUGCUCAACAUCUGGGGUGGAGGGACAUGAGUAACAGAUUCCUUAGGGGCCACAGGGAUUAUGAGUCUUGUCCAGCUGGAACCCAGGGGGAGGCAGCUCUGUGGGUGCUUUUAUAGGAAUAGCAUCAGGGGAGAAAAAGGGGGUGCCUGAACUAGCACACUUCCCCUCUCAUCAUCUUCUUCCAAGAAAGUCCUUCAGCAGGGCAAGGGAUCAAUCUAGAGCAGUUCCCUAGCCUUCAGGAGGCAUUAAGGAGAUAGCUAAAAACAAGUGAAGAAAGCUUCAAAUUUCAGAAGACCCACAACACCUAGAACCAAGGGCAGAGGUUUAAUCAGCACACUAGGCUCAUUGAAAGCAGCAUUAUAUAGUUCCAUUGCUGAAGGAAGGAUUUUGUGAAUUUUCCAAGGGUAGAAGACCAACACCCAAAUAGAUAUCAGCAGAAGCUAGUGAGGAUCAGAAAACAGUGAGUAGCAUUAGUGUAGAGAAAGUAGAAAUCAGAGAUGUGAAAUGCCACCUUUAUUACAUAUUGCAUUCUCAUAUAUUCUAGAAUAUUCUAGUCCAUUUUAAAAUGGUAGAUUCAAGAGUGAUAACUAUAUUUCUAGAUUUUAUUUUUUCUUUUCCUUUCUAGUGAGUGAAUUAAGAACCUUUGGAAAUAUUUUUUUUUUUUUAUAGUUUAUCCGAGGUUAGCAUAGGGUGUAGUCUUUUUGAAGUUUCUUUCAAGACCUUGCUUUUUCUUAUUUUGUCUUUGUCCUUGUCAGAUAGGCUUAUAUAUUUAUUCACUCAAUCAGCAAAUACACUGAGUACCUUCCAAAUAGCAAGCAGAUUAUUCUAAGCUGUAAAGUUAGUUUCCACUACAGUUUAUUUUAUUGUAUUUGUUUCAUGUUAACUGAAGGUUAUCAUCCAGCCUUUAUACUAGUUGGAGCGUAUGCUUCACAGAAUUCUUACCUACAGAGCGACAUUAAGAUUACAAGAAGAAAGAAACAAAAGUACACAUAAGUACACCCACCCACAAAAAUACAGGAAAUAUUAAUGAUGCCAAAGAAAAUAUGCAGUGGAAUAGUUGAGAAUGUGCUCUGUAAAGCCAUGGCACAUCUCUUCAAAAUCAUUGACUAAAAGAACAUCAUGAGAAAAACAGCAUUGUUUCUUUGUUGGUGCUUCUAACAUCUUUCCUGGGAAUUCAGGUGGAACAGAGAAUCCAAUGAAAUCUGGUGCUUUGCAUCAUUAUUAAGCUCAUAUCUACAAGCUAAUCAUGUGUGAUAAGGCUAAAAUGCAAAAGCAUUUGAAUCAAUAGCUCUUUCAGAUGCUUUUCUGAUAAAAUUGCUUCAUUUUCUUUUCUAGCUAGUUAAUUCAUGUAAGUAGAAAGAUUAAGAGAAAAACUUAUUCAUAUUAAGAGUAACAAGAUCCUAACAGUUUAUUGGACUGUAUUGUUGGCAUCUUUGCAACCAAUAAGGCUUUUUAAUAAUCAGAUCUCAGAAACAUCUGUCUUAGAAAGGGGUAUACUCUCUGGCUUCCAUUUACUUGAAAAGGAAUUAACCUAGGGUCAGGAGUAGAGGUUAGGUUACUUCUACCUGGAAAUUAAUCAGAAAAUUCAUUUUGCCCUUUGAUGUUGCUUGUCUGCACACACACGCCCUCGCUCCCACCUCUACCUUUUAUCUUCUUAAAAUCCUAAAGCUCCCUUUCAUGCGUUGUAGUAGUUUAAAGGAAUUUAAAGUUGUGGAUUUCUAUAUUUAUGUAAUUAUAUACUUAAAAUAUAAUAGGGUAGGGUAAAGUGUUUUUAAAAGAUGUGACACUUUAAAGAAAAUCACAGAUAUCAUAAGUGACUUUAAUAUAUUGGCAAAUUUCAGGCUACAUUCUUAGUCAUAUUUCUGCUAGAAGAAACCUACUUUCCAUUUUGUGUUUUCUCAUUUGCAUUACUGCAAAGUUAUUCAUGCAUAUGAAAAGGGUAUUAUUCAUCUCCAUAUUCCUUUCUCUCCAUAUUCCAAACCCAGUGUGCUUGUGAGUUAUACAUAAACACUGCUGUACCUCUAUAUUUAUGCAUAUGUAUCUAUGUGAUUCAAAUUUGGCAUCACAACUGGAUAGCAAGCCCAAGUGAUAACAUUAUGUACUAGAGGUGUCUUAUCACAUCAUUAAUGACAUAUCAAAAUUGUCAAUUAUGUUGAAAUCCAAUAAUUGUAACUGACAAGCUUUAGCAUGACUUGUCUCCACUGGGAAGGAUUAUAAAAGAGAGAGAGAGAAAGGAAUGUACUUUUGAAUCCCCCCUCUAAGUGCAUGUAACUGUAUGGUAAGCUCUUAUUAUUUCUACAAAUAAUUUUACUGAGAUGCUAUUUUCACAUUAUUCAUGGUACCUGGCUAGUGAAGUAUUUAUGUUCCUAAGCCUCAUUAUCUCCUAAAUUCAGAAAUCCAUUGCUAUUUCAGAAAGAACCACAAACUUGAACUGGCAAGAAGAAAAAUGACCAACCUGGCAGGGCUUGUCUCCCUCUAAUGUAUGAUUCUUCUUAACUCCAUAUUCCAGGAAAUUAUUCACUUGGAAGUUUAGAGUUCACGGAAAACAACUAUUUCUCUUCUACUCUCCAGUUCUACUUCUACCCAUUAGAAAAGCAAACAGUAUUGCUUAAUUCCAAAGAAGUUUGCUCUCAAAAAUAUCUUGGCAUUUGGCAAUAAGAGGAAAAGAAAGUGACAGUGAACUUCAUGGACACAGAAUUCAUUCUUUACAGUGACGAGGUAUUCAAGAAUCCUCACUCUUUGUGUCCUGUUUUAUCUGUAUUUGGGGAUGGUAUCUAAGAGGAGAAAAGGGAAGCUUAUGGGUUUUUUUUUUUCCUUUAAAAUAUAUUUCCAUUUACCAAUGGAUUAUUUUAAGCCCAGAGAAAAUUAUGAUUGCAUUAUUCUUUUCAGUAAUCAUGGCAGGUAUUAAAGUGAACAGACAAUGGUAGCGUAUAUGGAAUAACCUGGUUUUCUAGACAGACCCACUUGUCCAAGAUCAAACGGCUACAGCACAUUUAGGGUUACAGUCUCCUUCCCUUCCUCCUCUUUCUCAACCGCAGUGGAGCUUUUUCCAGUGUUGCCAUGGUAACACUAUAUCUGGCUGCUAGCUCUGUCGUAAGUUAUUGAACUGAGACUGGCUUUUGGUUUAGCAGAUAAUUAGGUUCUGUCUCACAGGUUCAUUUUCCUGUGACUGGGACGUGAAUAUGACCUACAGCUGGCCUCAAUUUCAGUGUCACAGACAAAACUUUAACCCUUCCCAAGCUCCCAAGGUACUCUCUUAAGCCUUGCUUGUGAAGUAGAGGAAGUCCAUUGCAGCCCACAUACACCUUGAAGAGGAUUACCAAGUCCUCAUUUUAUUUUUUUUUUGUCUUCAUGCGAACACCAAGGAAAAUAUGAUCAAGACUGUAUACCUAGAGCAUUUUCAAAAUUUAAAAUAUAUCAACAAUAAUGUAUAUGUGCUUAUGUAUUUAACAUGUAACAUAUAGAACUUUCUCUAGGUGUUUUCAUUUCCCUGCUUCUUCAAUAAUUUUUUAAGUCACGUCAAAGUGUCUUGUACUGCAUUUUGGUUUGGAUUCCAGAGCAUUUAGAUUUGAAAACCCCGUUAUCAGAAUAUUAACUUGCUACCCUUAUUCUCAGCUUCCAGAACUUUCUGCCCGUUGAUUCAUGCCCCUCCUUCUCCUUUUUAUAAGCCCUAGAUUUUUGCUGACAUUGAAAGGUUCCUUUGGAGUCCCAGGCAGGUCUCUGCUACAGGAAACAAUGCCACCACUCUAUGAAAUGCCCAAAUGAUCACUCAGGGCUUAAAACUUGCUGGUUUGGAAAAUUAGCAAAGCUCUGCCCUUUGUUUAGGACAAAGAAAGAAGCCUAACUUUUAGAACAAAUAUUGAUUUCACAAUCCCACAGCAACAGAGAGCCUGCAUGGUUAAUAUGAGAGGGCAUGUCUUUCUAUGUCAAACAAUAGGAAAGACCUUCAAGGAAAUCUGUUUGAAAAAUUUAGUGUAUUUUACCUAAAAGCUUCCCAUGAAAAGGUAAGACAGGAACAAGGGAAGUUGAGUUCACCAUCAUUAAAACAUGAAUUAAGUUUCUCCAUUGGCUAGAGAAUCACAUAACUAUGUCAAGAGAGAUAGGAAAGACCUACAGCACGUUGAAGACUCAAGGGUUGGAAGCUGGAGCUAGGAUUGUGUGUGUGUGUGUGUGUGUGUGUGGUGUGUGUGUGUGUGUUCGCGCGCGCGCAUGUGCGUGCCCAUGUAUACCACAUAGACUAUAUUGUUUUAAUCCAUUCCUUCCAUCCUCAAACUCUAACUUGGAAGAGCAUCUUGAAUGGCAGCAGCCUCAAGUCCUGGGUAAGAGCUGUCAUGAACCUGGUAUGGUCCAAUGAAUUCAGUGGACUUAGUGGAAUGGGUUGAGGUUAGGAUGGGGGGAGUUUGUAUGAAGCAAGACAGAGAGCUGAUCUGUGAGAAACUGGUUAUUGGCAGUUAUUUUCCACUAAACUGAGCUUCUUUUAACUUUUAAUCUCAAGUACAUAGCACUUGAUGUUUUCUUAUUAAUUAUCAAUGUGUUCAUUGAAUGAAUGAAUGUAUGAAUUCUUCCCCACUCUCUUCUAUGUAGUAAAAAUUAAAUUAGUAGCCAGUUAAAAGAUGACUUAGGAAGUCCACAACAGUUUUCUUUUCUUUUUUUAAAUUUUAUUUAUUUUUUAUUUUUUUAAUUGUUACUUCCCAAUACAAUUUUUUUUUUCUACUGUACAGAAUUGUGACCCAGUUACACAUAUAUGUAUACAUUCUUUUUUUCUAAUCACUUAGGAUGGAGCAUAAUAAUGUGAGAAAAAAUAAUUUUCUUUUCUUUUUCUUUUCUUUUUUUGUUUUCUUUUGCUUUUUGGGGCUGCAUGCAUGGCAUAGAGGUCAAAUUGGAGCUACAUCUACUGGCCUAUACCACAGCCACAGCAAUGCAGGAUCUGAGCCGCAUCUGUGACCUACACUACAGCUCAGGGCAAUGCCAGAUCCUUAACCCACUAAAUGAGGCCAGGGAUCAAAUCUGCAUCCUCAUGGACCCUAGUCGGGUUAGUUACCACAAGCCAUGAUGGGAACUCCCCACAAGCAUUUUCAAUGCGAAGUCCUUUUAACAGUCUUCUCAUGAUUUCUAGCAACUCCUAAGCCCAUCAUAUGAAUGCCAUCUCUUGCCUGCCCCAUUGCCAUAGCUUUGUAACUGAUCUUCUUCCCUCUCAUUACCUACUAUAGUCUCUACUGUGCACAAAAGACAGAGGUUCACUUAAAAUGCAUAUCACUUGCAUUUCACCCUCCUCACAACUUCCCAGUGUCAUUCCACUAGACUAGCAUACAUACUCCUUACUGAGUUCACAAGGCCCUAGGUGAACUUGCCCUUGGCUACCUUGCUGACAUCACUACCCUCUUUUCACUCUCCCCCUUGCCUUUCCUCAAGCACCUGUGCACAUGCCCAUGGAGAGCCUUAGCCUUUGCUAUUCCCUCUUCCAGUAAUACAUGACUCAUUCCUCUACUUGCUUCUAGUCUCCCUGCACAAAUGUCACCUCCUUAAAAAUGCUUUUCCUAAACAUCUUAAAAAGCAUCCCAUUCAUUGUCCAAAUCAUUCCUGCUUUAAGUUUUCUUCAUGAUGCUUAUCAUUUCUUCUUAGGAUAUUAGGCAAUAAGCAAAUAAGUAUAUGCCUUUCCCAUUAAAAUAUAAUCUCCCUGUGGGAAGGAGCUAUGCUUUUUGGUGAGUGUACCUCUAAUGCCUACAGCCUAGUGGGUUGAAUCCUAGCAGCCUUUAAUAAAUAUUUGUUAGUGAGUAAGUUAAUGAAUGAUUGAAUGAAGAGAUCCAGGUAUAGAGUCUGGGUAUCCCAACCUAUGUGGGACCAAGAACAAGUGUUCCCAACAUGAUGGAUGAAAUCUCCUCCUAUAUGGUGAAAUUGCAUGAAUAGGUACAAUAACAUUUAGGAACAUAGCUUAUAUUUCGCAGGUCUCUUCAUUAGAUUGAGGUAAAAGAAGGCCUUACAUGAAUUAGACUCAAGAUGAAGCAUCGUCCAUAUACCAAACACAUUGCAACUGGUCACUCCUAGACGACUUUUCCUGUGAAGGACCCAAUAAUAAAUAGUUUUGGCUCUGAGGGCCGUACAAUCUGUGUCACAGCUUUUCAGCUCUUCUGUUGGGGUGUGAAAGCAGCCACAGACAACACAUAAACAAAUGGGUGUGGCUGUGUUCCAGUAUCAUGUUACUUCUGAAAACAGGGAAUCAGCCACUUUCAGGACACAGGCCAGAGUUUCCUAACCCUGAGGUAGAGCUUUCCCCUGAUUCCUCUUUCUGCCAGGUUAUUGAGAGAAUGCCUGAAGGACCAUGGCUUUCUCAACUGAUUCUUUCAAGAAAUGAAACAAAUUGGUGGGUGGCUUGUGGGGGCAACAUCCCUGAGACUGUUUUCUUCCUUUCUCUCCUUUGUUCAAUAGUAGUCAUGUCCUAACUUUAAAAAUGUAGCUGAAGUAAGAAUAACUAUAGUCUAUUGGUAAAUGUCUUUUUUUUUCUCUCUAGGGGAGAAAAAAGGAUGUUUACUAAUUUCUGUAGUGUAAAUUCUACCCCCCUACCCCCGUGACCAUUUGAAACUAGCAAUAUGAUGUCACUUAACCUUGAGGUUGGAGAAAGAUGCAUAUAAUAGUCUCCUGAAUCAGUAUGAGCUGGCUCCAGCCCACAGCAGGAUACAUAUUUAAAAGCUGCAAUAAUUUCACUCACUGCCACUGUGAAGUCUGUGAGAUAGUAGUGGGCUUGAUAGUAGCUACUGGCUGGAUGAUCUUUUGGAAUGCCAAUAAAUAUUUUUUUAAAGAAAUAAUUUUUUUUAAAGUAUGUAAAUGUAAUGCUCUAUGUAAAGCCCUUAGCUCAGUGUUUGGUUAAAAUACAUACUCAGUAAAUAGAAGCUAUUAUCCUCUUAGUUUAAGUUACUAUACACAUUGAAAUUAAAUGUUUAGCUAUAGACUCAAUCCAGUUUAAUGCCUUCGUGUUAAUAAGGCCUUGUAACAUGGAAGCAACACAAAUAAAGGAAUUUUAUGUAGCUAUUCAUGAUUCUGCCCAGCUCAAGGUUAAGAUAGCAACAAAAUACUUCAACCAGAAUAAAAGAAAUCUCCACUUGACUGUAGCUCUCCAUAACACUUCGCCAGGGUCAAGCUGUGUUAUUUUCUUUCAGUGUUAAACAGAAAGCAUCUUAGGAGCAUAGUUCAAUUAUUGAUUGAAUAGUGGGUUCUAUUUGACUGUAAUUCUAACAAAUAUACUUCAAUGAGUUCAUGACCAGAGAUGGGCCAACAGAAGGGUAAAGGUUUCACUCAAGCUUUAAGGCAAAUGAUCAGACUGAGUUAAUAACAGGGAUAUCUUCUAUUUUUCUGAGAAUAAUACCAUCCCAUCCCAGUUGGAUAAAACUAGUAAAACAACAGGCAAAAUAUUGAUGAUGAGUAACCAGACACCAAAGGGAACAUCAGUAUGAAAAAAACUAGUGAAAAAAAAUUAUAUAGACCUUGAAAGAGAUCAAUACACAGCUUAAGUUUACUCAGUAUUUCAGAGAAAAGGGUAAUAUAUACUAUUUUAAAUACUAUAAAAUUGUUUUUUUUUUAAAUUGUUUACCUCCAGUAUCCUCUGCUCAUUCUCUUCAAUCCAUAGAGUUUUCUACACUUCUGUAAAAGGUAUGACUUAGUGUUUGGUCUGUGAUAUAAGGUAAGAAGGAGAUUAUUCCUUUUAACUUUCUAGCUCAUCUUAAUCUUUUUUUCUUUAUGUUUCUAUUAGCACAUAAGUCAAAUAUAUUGGUUUUUGUGGUGGUUAUCCUGCUCUGCUUCUUGACAGCCCUUUGCUCUAGAAGACUCAUUUUGACAAUGGAAUACCUCAAACCCACCCCUGGUCAGAAUUCCUCUCACCCCCCAAAUAUUACUGAAUAAAGUAAAUUUUCUGCUUAAAUAAA